rnacentral:rRNA from 1 species
GUGGGGAAUCUUAGACAAUGGGGGAAACCCUGAUCUAGCCAUGCCGCGUGAGCGAUGAAGGCCUUAGGGUUGAAAAGCUCUUUCAGCUGGGAAGAUAAUGACUGUACCAGCAGAAGAAGCACCGGCUAACUCCGUGCCAGCAGCCGCGGUAAUACGGAGGGGGCUAGCGUCGUUCGGAAUUACUGGGCGUAAAGCGCACGUAGGCGGACCGGAAAGUCAGAGGUGCAAUCCCAGGGCUCAACCUUGGAACUGCCGUUGAAACUCCUGGUCUUGAGGUCGAGGGAGGUGAGUGGAAUUCCGAGUGUAGAGGUGAACUUCGUAGAUAUUCGGAGGAACACCAGUGGCGAAUGCUGCUCACUGGCUCGAUACUGACGCUGUGGUGCGAAAGCGUGGGGAGCAAACAGGUUUAGAAACCCCUGUAGUCC